UACGUAGGGAGCAAGCGUUGUUCGGAUUUACUGGGCGUAAAGGGCGCGUAGGCGGCAUAUUAAGUCAUCUGUGAAAUCUCCGAGCUUAACUCGGAACUGUCAGCUGAUACUGAUGUGCUAGAGUGCGGAAGGGGCAAUCGGAAUUCUUGGUGUAGCGGUGAAAUGCGUAGAUAUCUGGAGGAACACCGGUGGCGAAGGCGGCAUUCUGGACCGGCAUUGACGCUGAUGCGCGAAAGCCAGGGGAGCAAACGGG
rnacentral:rRNA from 1 species